UAAUAUAUAAGGAGUAAUUUUUUGUUUUUUCUCUUUUAUGUUAAAUUUACAAUCAAAGAAAACACACUCUUAUAUAAUUCGACAUGAGCCUGUUAAAAAAAAAAAAUAAAGUGCGAAAUGCCUCAAUGCUAGGCAGACACGAUUCAAUUAUCUUUUUCCAACACAUAAGAUUUAAGAAAUAUUUAAUUCCUUAAAAGAUUGACACGAAAAAAAAAGAAAAAAAAAAUAAAAGAUGGGUUAAAGAAUAGAAGUGAGGGCUUGAGGAGUCGACGUCAGUGAAGAGGCAUAGACGGUAGGUAAUUUUUAUCAAUUGCUCAAAG
rnacentral:lncRNA from 1 species